AUGUAUCGACUCAUUGCUGAUUAUUAUUCGGCGGAUGAUUUAGUGGUGAAACGAAGAACUACUUCUGGGAAUUGAGUUGCAAUCCUCGCGGGUAUACCAAAUACUAGCUGUUUAGAAUUACGAUGGAAGGAAAAUGUGGAUGGAGAAAUAUUAGAGAUUUUGGCUCAAUUUAUCACAUCAUGUUAACCUCCACUAAUCGGGCAGAGAAGCAUAAGUAUUAGCUAAUGGUGACGUGGGAAAAAUUACAAGUAGACGGGCUAGGGAAAGGCCAUUUUUGUGUUUAUGACAAAGAAACGAAGAAUGGGAAGUGAUGUUUGUAAUUGUGAGUUAGAAGCUUUGUACUUGUGAUAAAACCAUGCACUGACAAACCAAUCAUUGUUUUGCAUUUUCUUGCAAAUUUGAUAGCACCUGCUUGCAUCUGGAGACUGCCUAUAGUUUAUCUUUGGCAACAGACGCCCAAGUGAGGUAUUUCUUAAGAAAGUUAUCUAUUUUCAACUAGCAUACAUUAAAUCCUGAUGUAUUUUCUGCUACCUAUGCAUCUGUGACACUUGAAUUA
rnacentral:misc_RNA from 1 species